UACGGGGGGGGCAAGCGUUGUUCGGAUUUACUGGGCGUAAAGGGCGCGUAGGCGGUCAGCACAAGUCAGUUGUGAAAUCUCCGGGCUUAACUCGGAAAGGUCAACUGAUACUGUGCGACUAGAGUGCAGAAGGGGCAACUGGAAUUCUCGGUGUAGCGGUGAGAUGCGUAGAUAUCGAGAGGAACACCUGCGGCGAAGGCGGGUUGCUGGGCUGACACUGACGCUGAUGCGCGAAAGCCAGGGGAGCGAACGGG
rnacentral:rRNA from 1 species